AGAAUUACACAAUAUUUCGCGUUAAAGAGAGUGGAGGCAUUCUUCCAGAAAAAAAACUCACGCAGUGGACUAUCUUUCGAAACUGAAAUUUCGAUACAAAAUCGAUUGGGCCUGUUGCGGCGAAGCACAAUCCCGGCCGCGUCGCUCACUUCUUCGCCAAACCCAGCUCCGCCGCCCGCCGCCCUGCUCUCCUUCUUCUUCUUCUUCUCCAAGCACCACGGGUGCCGGCCUGUCUCCUCCGUCCUGCGGUGUCUUCCGCCACAACCCUGCUGGCCCUUUUCUUCUUCUAAAAAACGUGCGAAAAGAGGUAAAGUGUAGGAAUUUGCAUUUUUUGGGGAAGUUAGAAGAUGAGGUCUGGAUCUUUUCUAACUCGGAAAUGGGUUGACAGUAUUAUUUGGGGAAGCAGGAGCAGUAAGCUAUACUGUACGGACCACAGUUCUAGAGUCAAAAUCUUCGACCGCGACCUCAAGCGCAAACAACGUGAUAGAGCUGCUUGGUUAAUGCACCCCAAGGACUCUUUAACAGAUGCAGUGGCUGAAAAUUUGCUGGAUCGAUUGGAGGAUUGUAAAAAGACGUUCCCUACUACAUUGUGCAUGGGGGGUUCUUUGGAAGCAAUUAGGCGCCUUUUGCCUGGACACGGUGGCAUUGAAAAGCUUGUUAUGAUGGAUACUUCAUAUGACAUGGUGAAAAUGUGUGAACAAGCUGAACGAAGUUCGCCAAACAAAACUAUUGAAACAUCAUUUGUUGUUGCUGAUGAAGAGUUUUUACCAAUCAAGGAAAGCUCUUUGGACCUGGUUAUCAGUUGCUUGGGACUUCACUGGACAAAUGAUCUUCCCGGAGCCAUGAUACAGAGUAGAUUGGCUUUGAAGCCUGAUGGCCUAUUUCUGGCGGCUAUUCUUGGUGGAGAAACAUUGAGAGAGCUUAGAAUAGCAUGCACAGUAGCACAAAUGGAACGUGAAGGGGGCAUUAGUCCUCGGUUGUCGCCAUUAGCACAGGUACGUGAUGCAGGGAAUUUGUUAACUAGGGCAGGCUUUAGUCUUCCCGGAGUUGAUGUAGACGAAUACAUUGUGAGAUAUGACAGUGCUCUGGAGCUGAUAGAACAUCUACGAGUGAUGGGUGAAACAAAUGCCUUGUUUCAAAAGAGCAGAGUUUUGAAGAGGGAUACUGCUUUGGCGACUGCAGCUAUUUAUGAAUCAAUGUUUGGUGAGGAAGACGGUACCAUCCCUGCAACUUUCCAGGUGAUUUAUAUGACUGGAUGGAGGGAGCACCCAUCCCAACAAAAAGCAAAGAGGAGAGGCUCUGCUACAGUAUCCUUCCAGGAUAUUCAAAAGCAUUUUGGUGGAGGGACGGAAAAUUAAAGCCAAGAGAAAGUGAAUGGAUGGUGGAUGAAUUCUGAAAUGGGAUUUGGAGUUGAUUGGUUUUUCAAGAAUUUUCCCCAGCAGUAGUUGAAGUUUCCUUCCUAUGGCAACAAAGUUGUCAAGCCCACUGAAAUUUGAUCCACCAUAGAAGAUGUAAGUUCCCCAGUUAGCAUCAUUGGUGGAUGUCAAUUGUAUGUUAUAGCAAUUUGGUGCUUCGGCAAGCACAGUAAGAUUGUUUUCGUCACAUAAUUCUGAUAAGCACCUGUAUAUUUUUAUGUAUGCUGCUUUCUUGUACCCUUUUAAAGCAUAAAGACCACUGCCCAUUUGGGUUGUGGUGUGCCCUGAGGAUGGUGCCCGAAUAGUAAAAAUUUCUCCCCCAAAAUCUACUGUUGUGGCUGCACCAUCCUUUAAAUAUGUGAUAGAUCUGAUGGCCAGUAACCCACAGUUGCCCCGUUUAUCUCCAGCCACCAUACGUCUACACCUGCCGUAUCGUAAAAUCUUAUGAGGUUAGAAUUAUUUAAAAAUGUACUUUAAAGUUUAUUAAAAAGUGUGUUUUGAGUGUGUAUGACCUACCGAUGUUUAUAUGCUAUUAGAAGUACACU